UACGUAGGGCGCAAGCGUUAUCCGGAAUUAUUGGGCGUAAAGAGCUCGUAGGCGGUUUGUCGCGUCUGUCGUGAAAGUCCGGGGCUCAACUCCGGAUCUGCGGUGGGUACGGGCAGACUAGAGUGCAGUAGGGGAGACUGGAAUUCCUGGUGUAGCGGUGAAAUGCGCAGAUAUCAGGAGGAACACCGGUGGCGAAGGCGGGUCUCUGGGACGAUACUGACGCUGAGGAGCGAAAGCGUGGGGAGCGAACAGG
rnacentral:rRNA from 1 species